rnacentral:rRNA from 1 species
AAUGAACGCUGGCGGCGUGGUUAAGACAUGCAAGUCGAACGGUUUUCGAUUGAAGGGCAACCGGAUAUGAAGCAGUGGCGAACGGUGCGUAACACGUGGAACAAUCUACCUUCAAGUGGGGAAUAGCUCGCCCGAAAGGCGGAAUUAAUACCGCGAGUGUGGUCGGGACUCGCAGUGAGUCCUGAACUAAAGUCUGGGAUUCCGGCGCAAG